rnacentral:rRNA from 1 species
UAACCUGCCUUAUAGUGGGGGAGUAGCCUUUCGAAAGGAAGAUUAAUACCGCAUAAGAUUGUAGUAUCGCAUGAUAUAGCAAUUAAAGGAGCAAUUCGCUAUAAGAUGGACCCGCGUCGCAUUAGCUAGUUGGUGAGGUGAUGGCUCACCAAGGCGACGAUGCGUAGCCGACCUGAGAGGGUGAUCGGCCACAUUGGGACUGAGACACGGCCCAGACUCCUACGGGAGGCAGCAUG